AUUGCAGGCUGCAACUCGCCUGCAUGAAGUCGGAAUUGCUAGUAAUCGCAGAUCAGCAUGCUGCGGUGAAUACGUUCCCGGGCCUUGUACACACCGCCCGUCACACCAUGGGAGUCGGUAACACCCGAAGUCCGUAGUCUAACUUUCACGAGAGGACGCGGCCGAAGGUGGGUUCGAUAAUUGGGGUGAAGUCGUAACAAGGUACC
rnacentral:rRNA from 1 species